AUUGAACGCUGGCGGCAUGCCUUACACAUGCAAGUCGAACGGUAACAGGUCUUCGGAUGCUGACGAGUGGCGAACGGGUGAGUAAUACAUCGGAACGUGCCCGAUCGUGGGGGAUAACGAAGCGAAAGCUUUGCUAAUACCGCAUACGAUCUACGGAUGAAAGCAGGGGACCGCAAGGCCUUGCGCGAACGGAGCGGCCGAUGGCAGAUUAGGUAGUUGGUGGGAUAAAAGCUUACCAAGCCGACGAUCUGGAGCGGGUCUGAGAGGACGACCAGCCACACUGGGACUUAGACACGGUCCAGACUCCUACGGGAGGCAGCAGUGGGGAAUUCUGGACAAUGGGCGAAAGCCUGAUCCAGCCAUGCCGCGUGCAGGAUGAAGGCCUUCGGGCUGUAAACUGCUUUUGUACGGAACGAAAAGACUCUGGUUAAUACCUGGGGUCCAUGACGGUACCGUAAGAAUAAGCACCGGCUAACUACGUGCCAGCAGCCGCCGUAAUAC
rnacentral:rRNA from 1 species